UACAGAGGGUGCGAGCGUUGUCCGGAAUCACUGGGCGUAAAGGGCGUGUAGGCGGCUUGCUAAGCCGCGUGUGAAAGCCCGGGGCUCAACCCCGGAACGGCGCGCGGGACUGGCAGGCUCGAGACUGGUAGAGGCAAGUGGAAUUCCUGGUGUAGCGGUGGAAUGCGUAGAGAUCAGGAAGAACACCGGUGGCGAAGGCGGCUUGCUGGGCCAGUUCUGACGCUGAGGCACGAAGCUAGGGGAGCAAACGGG
rnacentral:rRNA from 1 species